rnacentral:rRNA from 1 species
GACCCGUCUUGAAACACGGACCAAGGAGUUUACCGUAUGUGCGAGUCAUUAAGUGUUAAAAACUUAUUGGCGUAAUGAAAGUAAAGUAUUCUUUAUCGAAUAUGAUAUAUGAUUAUCUUUUCUUUAUGGAAAGAUAAGCAGUAUAGUCCCAUCCAAUUUGUUUACAAAUGGGUGGAGAUAGAGCAUAUGCGAUGAGACCCGAAAGAUGGUGAACUAUGCCUGAGCAGGAUGAAGUCAGAGGAAACUCUGAUGGAAGUCCGAAGCGGUUCUGACGUGCAAAUCGAUCGUCUGACUUGGGUAUAGGGGCGAAAGACUAAUCGAACCAUCUAGUAGCUGGUUCCUUCCG